ensembl:lncRNA
AAGCAGUGGAGGGUGGGGUGGUGGAGAGGGAGAUGCCAUAGCAUCAAAGAGUAUGUGUCAAGGAAUAAAGUAUAAGAAGCCUGGAAAGGUUAGAGUAGGGACUAAAUUAUGAAGAGCUUUGACUCGGACUUUAGGAAAUUUUCCAAAAAGUCUUGAAAUGAAAAGGAGUUUCUCGUUAAGCAUUAGUUACUAACUAGAAAGUUAAAUUAUCCAGAACCUCCAUUCCCUAGACAUUCUACCUAUUUGUGAUUUUAUAGAAUUAUCACUCUUUAGAAACCAAGCAGAAAACACAGGCCUGAGAGAAAUUAGGCUGUUACUAAAAACAGAUGCUAUAUCUGAAAUGAUAAAUCUGUCUCCCCAGUAAGAUGAGACAUGUCUGUGAGUUAUGGUAGAUGACAGACUGAACUUUGAUGAGAAAUCACUCUGUCCUGUUCUCCCUUCCCGAUUAGAUCACCAUCACCUUUACCAUCAUUAAGGCAUAUUCUGUGUCAGCUCAGGGACCAUGUGUGAGUGGGUAAGACUCAUCUGGAAACUGAGAAGGCUAUGGAUAAUCAGUUGAUUUGCAGGGUCCAGAUUCUUACCAUAUUCUCAGCUGGAUAAAGAAAGUAGUCCGUCCCUGGCUCAAGCCACCAAUUCUGACCCUACCCUAUGGGAACCUAUUUUGGACAUCAAAAGUUGGGGAAAAGCUACUGUUUCCUUCUCCUGUCGUUUUUGGUUGGGAACUCUGAAGAGAAGGGCUCUGGGAUGCUGGGACAACAGAGGAAGGUGCUGGAUGCAUCAGAAAAAAUUUCCAUCGAUUAUUGGACUCUACGUUCUCUGGAUGAUUGGACGUGAAGUGGCUGCUGUCUCCACUGUAAUACUGUAUCACAUGUGGCAGAGAGGUAAAAAAAGGAUGGGAAAAGAACCUCAGAUUUGGCAGUUAAGAAAUCACUGACUGUCUUGGAGAGAACAGUUUAGGUGAGUGGUGAAGUAGAAGACUGUUGCAAGCAGUAGAGAAUAAAGCAGAAAGGGAAAUGGAAUCA